UUACAAAUUUCACAGGAUUUAUUGGCCUCAAUAUUAGAAUAUCAUCUUUUAUCUCUUCUCAGGUUGAUCUACUUCUUCCCAUCAAUGCCACACAUACUGGGGAAGAGGAGGUGCCCCGAUACUUACCUGGGUUAGGGGUCUUGCCUUGUUGGAUGUGUCAUGAUUUACACCACCAUCUGCAUCUGGCUUGUUCCUCUGGAGCUCUGGCCUUUCAUCUCUUCUCCUCACUGGAUUUCUGGCUUGGCCUUCUACUGGAGUCUCACUACUAUUCUUCUGAUUCUGAUAGUGACCUCUUCAACAGUGUUUCUCUGUAUAACUUGCUAAUGGAAAAGAGAAGAUUCACAGCUAAGGUGUCAUCAUGAUCCAAAGGAAGACUCUCUCCUCUCAUAUGUCUCUGUGCGGUCCUCCCCAUUUUAUUAAAAUCACUUAACUAAAAAGGUAGAAUGUCUUUUUUAAUUCUUUUUUUUAAUGUUUAUUUAUUUUUGAGAGACAGAGACAGAGUGUGAGCAGGGGAGAAGCAGAGAGAGAGGAGACACAGAAUCCAAAGCAGGCUCCAGACUCUGAGCUGUCAGUACAGAGUCCAACGCGGGGCUUGAACCCCCUAACUGUGAGAUCGUGA
rnacentral:lncRNA from 1 species